AUGCCACCAACUAACCUAUUCAUGUCAAGAUUAAUGCUAUCAAUUUCCUUCCUAAUCUUGACAUGCCUUGUCGUCGACCGUCGUCUUAAACGCCCUCGCUCGACAUCAUCACGCGCCUCCGCGCCCGCUGCGACGUAUCGUGUGCCUGCCGUCGCCAGAGUCGAUCCAGCUCGCGUCGUUGUCGUCGUCACAGCCAUGAGCCAGCCUGUGGACCCGACCUGGCGCACCGACGCCGGUCGCACCGUGCUCCGUCACGACUCCGGUGACACACACCAAGCUCCUUCUCCGCCGGCGACACACCCUGGCGUCCCUUCGCGCCCCGCACGUCCCGCGCGCAACCAACGCGCCCGACGAGCCCGACCGCACCAGUGCGUCCCGCACGUCCCGCGCGCAUCCGACGCGCCCGACGAGCCCGACAGCACCAGACGCUCACCGUGUGCCGCCUCCGCGUCCGCCAUGGCAGCCGCCACGCCGCGCCUACGUGUCACGUACCUUCCACGGUUGUCGCCCCGAACCGUCGCGACCUCUGCGCCACCACGCAGGUCCUUCGCGACCUCCUCGUCUCUGCGACCGCCGUGCCCUUCGCGCACACUCCCCACGUCCCCGUGCUCCCGGCCCGCGCUCCCGCCGCGCACGUACGCGAUCUGCGCAACCAGGUCCAGCGCCUCGACGCGGUCCACUCCCGUGGUCCCGACGCGUCCAGUGCGCACCCAUAACACGCACCGGUCGCGCCUGGCUCGCCGCCGCAUCUUAUUGCCCUGCACCGCCACGGCCUCCAUGCCGCCAUGCAGUGCCUCCACGCCUCCACACCGUGUUGCGCCGCCGCGCCACCACGCAGCGCCUCGGCGGCCUCCGCGGUCGCCGCACGUACGACGUCACCGCCCGCCGCCUCCGCCACGCGCUCGCCGCGCGCCGCAGCCGAUGCCUCCAUGUCGGCCGCGUCCUCCUCACCGCGCCGCGCACCUCCAUAGACCGACACACGGCCUGGAGCUUCACCGUGCAGCCGCCGGCGAAUGCCGCCACCGCCGCCACGCCUCCGACACGGCAAGCACGCCCAAGACACCAAGCUCAUGA
rnacentral:rRNA from 1 species